UCAAUAACAACAGCUUCUGAGUCAUACAUAUUCCUAGUGAAGUGACCAUGAAAUCGCUUGUUGCUCUUAUCCUGCUCUUUUCACUUGCCCUGUACACAAGCAACACUAAUGCAAGAAAAGACCCUGGAGAAUACUGGAGAGCUGUGGUGAAAGAUGAGCCAAUGCCUGAAGCAAUCAAACAUCUUAUGCCUCGGCAUUCAGUUCCUCUCUCCAAAAAGAAAACUAACCUUCUGUUGGAGGUGAAGCCUUUGAACCAAGGCCUAAUAUAUCUGUCUACCACGACAACGCCAAGUUGAAUGAAGCUGAUAAAUCAUUAUUUACGAAAGAUUUCGAGCCAAAGCCUUAUGUAACUGGUUAUCAUGAUGAUGACGCUGGUCUUAAACAAGAAAAGACCUUUGCCGAAGAUUUUGAGCCUAGGCCAAAUAUUUCUAUGUACCAUGAUUGAUAUUGUAUACAAUGAGUAUUGUGUGUCUUCCCGCGUUGGUGUAUUUACAUUUUGUAUGCCUCCUUAUGUUAAGUGAUUUAUCAAAUAAAUAUUUAUAACCAUACUUGAUGGUUGUAUUGAUGUAUUUCUUAACCUUAUUUAUGUGUUCUAAGUAAUGAUUGAUACGCUCGGCUUCCUUUUA